UCUCACCAAUAAAAAAAACAUGUACACAAAACAUUAUUAUUAGAUAUAUAUAAUCACUUUAUUAUCAUAUUCGAUUGUAGAUGCAGUCUACCCAAACUGCCCUUGACACAAAACACCAUAUUACAUAGAAAACCACACCAAAAUACAUCUACAUGCAUUAUUAUAUAGAAACAUUAUCAACAUACUACAAGCAAAACACAGUAUUAAUAUAUAUAUAUAUAUAUAUAUAUAUAUAUAUAUAUANNN
rnacentral:lncRNA from 1 species